AAUUCUCAACUUCAUCAGUUUUGUUAUGAAACUGUGUGAAGCUUGGAUGUGGGGGUUUGUGCAGAAUACUUGAUUGUAGACUGCUCCCCUUAAAUAAAUUAGCAAGUUCAAUCUGAGCCCUGUCUAUUGGUGUGAUAAUUAUCUACACCGUGGAUUGAGCUUAGACUUGCUUCUAACUGUCUGGAAGGACAACAUUUUGACA
rnacentral:misc_RNA from 1 species